UCUGCAUGUGGCCUGUGGCAAGGGCCGUCCGAGAGUGGUGAGACUGCUAACACAUAGACAUUGCCUAUUGAACCUCUGUGACAUUGACAACAAAACAGCUCUCAUUCACGCCAUACAAUAUGAGCAAGAGGAAUGUGCAACCAUUCUUCUAGACCGUGGCGCCAAUCCAAAUGUAAUGGACAUCCAUGGCAACACUCCUCUUAACUAUGCUGUCCUUGGUCAUAAUACAGCUAUAGUGGAAAAGCUACUUUCCUGUAUGGCAAAUAUGGAAGCAAGAAAUAAAGAUGACUUCACACCACUUUCACUUGCUAAAUAUGACAACAAAGAGAAAAUGGUGGAAUUUUUAGUAACUAGAGCUUCAAAAGUCGAUCACAUGGAAAACAAGCAACAACUAACUUUGGAAUAUAAAGAAGAAAGACUAUAAGAUCUUCUGAAGGUAGCAAUCUUGGUA